rnacentral:rRNA from 1 species
GUACACUCCUGCGGGAGGCAGCAGUGGGGAAUUUUGGACAAUGGGCGAAAGCCUGAUCCAGCAAUGCCGCGUGAGUGAAGAAGGCCUUCGGGUUGUAAAGCUCUUUUGUCAGGGAAGAAACGGUGAGAGCUAAUAUCUUUUGCUAAUGACGGUACCUGAAGAAUAAGCACCGGCUAACUACGUGCCAGCAGCCGCGGUAAUACGUAGGGUGCAAGCGUUAAUCGGAAUUACUGGGCGUAAAGCGUGCGCAGGCGGUUUUGUAAGUCUGAUGUGAAAUCCCCGGGCUCAACCUGGGAAUUGCAUUGGAGACUGCAAGGCUAGAAUCUGGCAGAGGGGGGUAGAAUUCCACGUGUAGCAGUGAAAUGCGUAGAUAUGUGGAGGAACACCGAUGGCGAAGGCAGCCCCCUGGGUCAAGAUUGACGCUCAUGCACGAAAGCGUGGGGAGCAAACAGGAUUAGAAACCCCAGUAGUCCCA